UUAGGGGGGUGGGCUUCGAACCCACAUCUGAGGAAUCAAAAUCCUCCGAAAUUCCAUUUUACUACCCCCU
rnacentral:tRNA from 1 species